rnacentral:rRNA from 1 species
CCUACGGGGUGCAGCAGUGGGGAAUAUUGGGCAAUGGGCGCAAGCCUGACCCAGCAACGCCGCGUGAAGGAAGAAGGCUUUCGGGUGGUAAACUUCUUUUCUGAGGGAAGAAGAAAGUGACGGUACCUCAGGAAUAAGCCACGGCUAACUACGUGCCAGCAGCCGCGGUAAUACGUAGGUGGCAAUCGUUAUCCGGAUUUAUUGGGUGUAAAGGGCGUGUAGGCGGGAAAGCAAGUCAGAUGUGAAAACGCAGGGCUCAACCCUGAGCCUGCAUUUGAAACUGUUGGUCUUGAGUGCUGGAGAGGCAAUCGGAAUUCCGUGUGUAGCGGUGAAAUGCGUAGAUAUACGGAGGAACACCAGUGGCGAAGGCGGAUUGCUGGACAGUAACUGACGCUGAGGCGCGAAAGCGUGGGGAGCAAACAGGAUUAGAUACCCUAGUAGUC